CCUACGGGUGGCAGCAGUGAGGAAUAUUGGUCAAUGGCCGCAGGGCUGAACCAGCCAAGUCGCGUGAGGGAUUACGGUCCCACGGAUUGUAAACCUCUUUUGCCAGGGAGCAAAGGGCGCCACGUGUGGCGCCUUGCGAGUUCCCCAAGAAAAAGCAUCGGCUAACUCCGUGCCAGCAGGCGCGGUAAUACGGAGGAUGCGAGCGUUAUCCGGAUUUAUUGGGUUUAAAGGGUGCGCAGGCGGGAUGUCAAGUCAGCGGUAAAAUUUCGGGGCUCAACCCCGUCGUGCCGUUGAAACUGGCGUUCUUGAGUGAGCGAGAAGUAGGCGGAAUGCGUGGUGUAGCGGUGAAAUGCAUAGAUAUCACGCAGAACUCCGAUUGCGAAGGCAGCAUACCGGCGCUCAACUGACGCUCAUGCACGAAAGCGUGGGUAUCGAACAGGAUUAGAUACCCGAGUAGUC
rnacentral:rRNA from 1 species